rnacentral:lncRNA from 1 species
AUUUUCUUUUUUUCUUUACUUUAUUUUUGUUUUUAAGAUAAAAUAAAAAGUGCAAUUUAUGUUAUAUUAAAAUACCUUAUUGCCAAUAACUUUUUGGCUUUUGGACUUUUUGUACUUUUAAAAUAAAAUAGAAAAUGCAAUUUAUCUUGAAUUAAAUAAAAUAUCCUAAAUAAAACUUGUGCAACUAAUUAUACUAGUAGACACCUUUUAUUUGAUAUUAUUUUUGAAACAAAAACUCCAGUUAACCUUUGUAGAAACCCAAAUAAUUAUGCAAAUUACAUUACGCAUAGCGCUCUCUAAAGGCGCCAUUCAAGCGAAAUAUUGCACACAUAAAUUCUCUUGACAAAACUUUUCGAACGAUAUAUAACACAUAUCCAUUUGCGAUUAACACUUGGUGCACUUCCCUUGUAAGAUAUCAUGUAAAAAAUACGCAAUGUUAUAUAAAGGGUUAUCGAGAAUCAAUACUAUAAUUCUCAACGAAAAAUCUUUUUUGUGAAUCUUCGAUUGUCCAUAACAGCGUACGAGGUUACCAUUCGUACAAUUCAGUUCUUUACAUAUGAAAUCGUUAAUGAUAUCUUUGUCACACCACAUUUUAACUAUAUUGUUUAAUUUAGAUGUGAUUCGAUUAAUAAGAUUAUUCUUUAAUUUCCGGUAAGUAGUUUGAUCACUAUGCAAUGCUGUCGUUUGAUUAAUAUAAGUGUUUUUUUCCAUGACAACUGUAACUUACCUUUAUCAGCUUUUGUGACAAAAUAUAUCAUCAUGUUCCCUCAAAAAUCUUUUACAUUUGUUAAACUCAUUAAUAGUCUAUUCACGUAACUUACAUGUGGAGUUUUACUUAAAAAUCUAUGCAAGGAUAUAGCAAUUUGACUACGUAUUUCGUCAACUAAAUUAUCCGGAAUUUUAUGAGCAUUAUAUUUAAUAUUCCUAAUUAUGUCGACAACGGUGUUUAUACAAUCAGUUUUAUUAUUAGAGAGUACUGGCAAUCCGAAUUUGUCAUCUGAACUUAACACAUUUAAUACUGAUUCCGGAAUAUAUUUAUUACUAAUAUCGACAAUCCUUAGAACGGUCUGUGUUAAGGAAAACGUUAUGCUACUUGUUAUAUUUAUUUAAAAUAUAAUCAAAUUUAUUUAUCAAUCAAUCUCUUUGGACACAGAAAAGUUUUACUUCUUGAGGUUUGCCUCGGAUAUUCAAAUGUCAAGACUGAAACGACAAAGGCGUAACAUUACACUUUUUUUAGAACUCAUUUUUUGUUUGUUAUUCCAACAUUUAAGGAAAAGCCUUAGAACAACGCCCCACGUUGUGAACUGUACGGUCUCUUGUUGCUACUCGAGUUUCCGGAUGCUGUUCUCGUCCCAAUCCGCUUGUAGGACUCCCAAUCCGCAUCUUUAGGGAAAGCUGACCAAGUUCCUUCUAAAUGAGUUCAGGAUAACCUCCUUUUUCUAAGAUUUUCUACAUCGCUACGUCCACUCCUGUGGUCCUGCUUCGAUCUUCAGUUGUUGUAUACUUUCUUUUUCUGUGAAUCGCGUUGACAUUUUCCUCUUCAGUGAAUCUCACUUUUUGGUCCAUAAAUUUUCUUUUUUUUUUUAAAGGAGAAGAAAUAAUUCAUCACUUAGAUUCCAAGUUUUUAGAGAUACUUCUAGAAAGUAUCUGCUUCUAUAUUCGCUUUAUAUCCUAUGAAUAAACCAUGACUCAAAACUGUAGGAGAAACUUCUGAAUUUUUAUAUGUUGUUCUUUCUUGACAAAAUCCAUAAUAUCUAAUGACCUUUUAUUAUUAAUCUUAGGAAUUUUUCGCAGCAAUUUUAGAAUUGUUCUUCAAAGACUUUCUCUUGAGACGACUGCAAAGGACAAGAAGAAAAGAAAAUAAGAACUAAAUAAAGAAAAAUCACUUUUAAAUGAAAUUCUGAUCAGAUUUCCUAAUUCCACUUACUCAGAUGCUUUUCUGAAAAUGAAGCUAACAUGCACAUGAACUAUCUUCCUCUUGUGUCUAUAAAUUUUUUAAUGCAAUAUACCACAUCACUUAAUUUCUUAAUCACCAAAAAAAUCCUUUUAAUUGCUUUAUAAUUUUAGAGCCCUUUCUCUUUACGAGAUUUAAAUAAUCAGAUUUUUUGCUAGACUUAACUUCCCGAUCGUAUUAGGACUUUGCUUAAGAAGACUUUACAUCCAUCCACUUCCUAGUACAGCGAUAGAUCGCCUCGAGUUUUUCUUUCAAUUUUCUUAUGAAAUUAUAUACGGAUUGAUAGUUUUCUUCAAACUUCGAAAGACUUUUCUGAAUCACAAGUAUUCUAAUAUUUUACAUAAAAUAUAAUUCUAUAGAAGUCACACACAAAUGGUUUCGUGUUUAGAAGACAUAAGUUAUCAAUAAUUUUGGAAUAUAUAAGUUAUCAUAUAGGAACAUGGGAAUCCGACGAUCUUAAUCCCUUUGAUUCUCAAAACGAUAUUUCGAAAUUAAUAAUUUAUCACCGUUUGAUGCUGACGUUUGAUCUAUUAGGAGGUAAACUUAAUUUCUGCCGCUCGCUACUAGAGAGCGCUGGCUCCAACACUAAUGAGAUUUGACGGUGAAGUCGCAUGUAUUUUGUAGUUUAUAUAUUGCUAAAAGUGAAUCAAUUCUCACAGAUUAGAUUUCUCGAAGUUAAAGAGAUUUUCCAAUUGAUUAAAGAUGAAUUGCGAUAAUCGGUUUUUCCGACAUGUGUUUCUUCACUACUUUGACCUCAAAAAACCACAGCCGAAAUAUAUCGCUUAUUAUUCGUGUGAUGAUAAUAUUGCCACAAUCUUCCGCCAAUGAAUACUAAUAAAAAAAUCGCGAGCAGAUAGGAAGUGGAAUUUAAAUCCCGCAGCGUUUUAUUUUUUUUCCCGAGCCUUCUCGAUCUCUUGGACGAUCCCCGUAGCAAUUUGCUUUAUAAUAAUACAUAUAAUAAAUUUAUGUUUGAGUAGAGAAGUACUUAGUCGGGCAAUGUCGUUACGAAAAACGACAACAAUAUUUACGUUUACAAAGAAGAUCGGGAAGAGUACGGGAGAUAAGAAAAAACGGAGAAGCAUGCAAUAUUUUGUGUUCGGCAGUUAGAAGAACGGACAGGAAAUACACAAACGCACAAAUAAAGAGAUAUCAUCCAAGAAAAUUGACUUUAUUUAAAUAUUCGUCUCAAUCCGAAUUUCUCGCGCUCCUAUUUAACUUCGAAAAUCGCGCAUUUUCUUAUUGGACUCUCCAGCGGCAUCAAAUUAACUGAGAAACGGGAACUACACGAACGCGCAAAAUAAGUAAUGACCCCGACGUGAUUCGUCGGCGCAAUACCCGAACGUUUGUUUUGCUUUCUCUCCGAGUGUUUUUCGGAUCUCGUGGACAACAAGUGUUUGGUGAAGUGAUUUGCCGAAACAUUUAGAAGAGAAGUCUUUGAUGCGCGAUGAUAAAGUACUGAUCCAGUUGCUCGAGCCGCAGCAGGUAUCCGUGGUAUCGACGAUGACUAGUCAGCCGAUACCGUUGAUUAAUGAAACGGAGGUGAGCAGAGUCGGAAUGCGAAAGCCAAAGUUCAUUCUAAACAAUUCUGAUUUAGUAUACUAGAUUUAGUAUACUAGCAGUUUUCAUGCCGCCGGAAUUCACGACAAGAUGACUCGAAAAAUACCCGAGAUCUAGUCAGUCAAGGCAAGAUGUGACCGAGAUGUUACCAGUGAAGACAAGAUGUGAUCGAGAUCCAGCUAGUGAAGGCAAGAUGUAAUCGAGAUCUAUAGCCAAUGAACGCAAGAUGUGAUCGAAAUCCAGCCAGUGAAAGCAAGAUUUUAUUAUUUCUUUUCAUAAUUUAUGAAUAUAAAGUCCACAAUAAUUGACAUUAUCCUUUAUAUUCAUGGCAAUAGUGAGGAUUUCAAUUUCUAUCGUAAAAAAAUGUUCCAUACACAAAGAAUUACAUCACGCACAUUUUAUUACUGCGGUGUCAUUGUAGAUUUUGCAGACCAUACCGCAAUUUUUUAAACAGAAAUCAACAGGUAUUUCACAUCCAUCUGAUUUUUUUUUAUAUAUUCAUUUUUCCACGAAACGUAUUUAAUUAAGGUGAUGAAAAUUGUGCAUUAAUGAUUACAUUUUGAGAAUGUUAUUCCUCAAAUGUGACUUAAUAUCAUAGUUGUAUAAGAGAAUUAAGUCUAAAAUUUGUUUUAGAAAGUUUUUCCGCGUUUUGAAUCUAUAGACAUCCAGUAGUUGAGACCUGUUGUUCCGGCAAUAAUUGUAAGGAUUUUUCUUACUUCCUUACUACCCUUGUCUGUAUUAUAUUUUCAAAUUUCUUUUCUGUUUGUGACCAAGGUCUGUUCUGACCAAGGAUCCAAUGCAAAACAGAUUUCUCGCCAGCAUUAAGAGGACUAGGCAGUCAGAUUUAGUAAAAAUUUAACCUUUUUGGGGAAUUAUUUACAAGGACAUAAAUACAAAUUGUGACUAGUACUUUUAGGUAAUGUUUACUAGUACCAUAACAGUAGAAAAAAAUUGUUUUUAAUAAUAUAUGUAUGUAUAUAUGAUGGCGCUACAGUCUUCUGAUGCAUAGGCGGUCUUUCUGGUGCCGCUGUGGUUUUGCAGGCCAUUGAUCCUGGCCAUGAAAAAUUAAAUUGUAAAAUAUCCUGGAAAAUUUGGCAUUCUAUAGGACUUCAUUCUGCACUGAACCUAUUUAAAAAGGAAAAAAAUCAAAAUUUAAAAAAUGGCAGCUGCAAAUGUAAAAAAACAUGAUUUUUCAUUAAAAAGGAGAACCUACUUAAAUUUAUUUUUUUGUCAAAACAGAAGUUUUUACAGAUUUAUGCAUAGCUUCAGGCCUUAACUAGACAUGUUUUACUCAAUUUUUUUCAAAUUGAUUUAAAUUGAAUUUCGAUUUGAACCUCCAUCUUUUUACAAUCACUGCAAAAUGAAGAGAAAAAAAGAUUUCAAGAAAACCGCGUUUAAAGUGUUAAAAAACUUUUGAGUACAAUAAUUACUACCUACCUUGUUUAAAAA